rnacentral:rRNA from 1 species
GAUGAACGCUAGCGGCAGGCCUAAUACAUGCAAGUCGAACGGAUAUAUGUUUUUUCGGAAUAUAUAUUAGUGGCGCACGGGUGAGUAACACGUACAUAACUUGCCCUCAAGCGGGGGAUAGCCUUGGGAAACUGAGAGUAAUACCCCAUAGAAUUAUUGGACGGCAUCGUUUGAUAAUUAAAACUACGGUGUUUGGGGAGUAGAUGUGCGUCUGAUUAGCUAGUUGGUGAGGUAACUGCUCACCAAGGCGACGAUCAGUAGGGGGCGGUGAGAGCGUGGCCCCCGACCACGGUACGUGAGACACGGACCCGACCUCCUACGGAGGGCGAGCAGU